GCAGUAGCCGCGGUAAUACGAAGGGUGCAAGCGUUACUCGGAAUUACUGGGCGUAAAGCGUGCGUAGGUGGUUGUUUAAGUCUGCUGUGAAAGCCCUGGGCUCAACCUGGGAAUUGCAGUGGAUACUGGGCGACUAGAGUAAGGUAGAGGAUAGUGGAAUUUCCGGUGUAGCAGUGAAAUGCGUAGAGAUCGGAAGGAACAUCUGUGGCGAAGGCGACUAUCUGGGCCAUUACUGACACUGAGGCACGAAAGCGUGGGGAGCAAACAGGAUUAGAUACCCCAGUAGUCCCUGUCUCUUAUAC
rnacentral:rRNA from 1 species